rnacentral:rRNA from 1 species
AACGAACGCUGGCGGCAUGCCUAACACAUGCAAGUCGAACGGUGGCUUCGGCCACAGUGGCGCACGGGUGAGUAACACGUGGGAACCUGCCUUUCGGUUCGGAAUAACGUCUGGAAACGGACGCUAACACCGGAUACGCCCAUCCAGCGAUGGUUGGGGAAAGUUUACGCCGAGAGAGGGGCCCGCGUCCGAUUAGGUAGUUGGUGAGGUAACGGCUCACCAAGCCGACGAUCGGUAGCUGGUCUGAGAGGAUGAUCAGCCACACUGGGGCUGAGACACGGCCCAGACUCCUACGGGAGGCAGCAGUGGGGAAUAUUGGACAAUGGGCGCAAGCCUGAUCCAGCAGUGCCGCGGGAGUGAUGAAGGCCUUAGGGUUGUAAAGCUCUUUCGCACGCGACGAUGAUGACGGUAGCGUGAGAAGAAGCCCCGGCUAACUUCGUGCCAGCAGCCGCCGUAAAAC